AAAAAAUAUGAAUGUAAGUCGCGCUGGAUAAGAGCGUCUGCUAAAUGACUUAAA
rfam:Salmo salar isolate Sally breed double haploid chromosome ssa10, whole genome shotgun sequence.